rnacentral:lncRNA from 1 species
AAGAGCGAGAGAGAAAGAAGGGGGAGAUCUAGCACAAGCCAGGAGGGGGAGAAAGAAAGCGGUCGAGCGGCGGAUGAGUGGGGUUUAGAGUUUUGUCGUGGUCGGUAUGACAGAGCGAGGCCGCUUGUGAUUUAGUUAGAUAGUAUUAUAGUGCAGUGGAUUUACUUGUGGAUUUGGAUAUCCAUAGAUUUUGAAUACUUGUGAGACUUUGGCUGCAGAGUGCUGAAGAAAGAAUAGAGUGAAGACAAGAGAAGGAAAAUUAAACAAUGGUCUACAAAGGAUAGCUAUUAUAUGAUAAUUGCUCUUGUGAAUGCUUUUUUUACUGUAAUUGAUCUAGUGUGCAUCUAAAUAAUUUUUUUUUCAAAAAAAUAUGAAGAAAUAACAGAACCCCAUCAUCAAUUAUAAACAAAAAUAUAUAAAAAGCACGCAAUAAUAAUUUGCAUACAAAAUUUAUUUAGUACCAUAGGAGCCCUAAAGACACAAAAAACUUCCAUC